GAGCUCACUUCAGCAACACACACUAUGAAAUCUGGGAUGACACAGAGAAGGUUAGCACGGCCCCUGUGCAAGGAUGACAUGCAAAUUCAUGAAGCAUUCCAUGUUUUU